GCUUACGGCCACACCGCCUGGUUCACGCCCGAUCUCGUUUGAGAUCGGAAGCUAAGAUAGGUUGGGCCUGGUUAGUACUUGGAUGGGGAGACCGCCUGGGAAUACCAGGUGCUGUAAGUU
rnacentral:rRNA from 1 species